ACACUUACUGAAGCGUUUAGGUUUAACUGUGUACGUUCUGUACUCAUAAAACCUCUGAGAAGCUUUCGAGGAAGAACUAAAAGCCCGUUUUCCAGAAAUACUACCCCAUACCGCACUAAACAAACGAGGUUUUUGCAUUUUUAUAUAAUAUAAAUUUUAGCAAAAUUUGAAAACAGAACAAAGUCAACAAACAUCGAAGAUUGGGCAAUACCAAAAAUUACCAUAUCCGGCGGUUAACGAAGAUAGUUCGAAUUUCCUCCGAGUUCAUUCCACUGACCUAAAUAUAUUCAAGUGAAUGGUUUCAUCCCCGAG